rnacentral:rRNA from 1 species
UACGUAGGGGGCAAGCGUUGUCCGGAUUUACUGGGCGUAAAGAGCGCGUAGGCGGAAGCUUAAGUGUGGCCUGAAAGCCCCCGGCUCAACUGGGGAGGGUCACGCGAUACUGAUCGACUCGAAGGCAGGAGAGGGUAGUGGAAUUCCCGGUGUAGUGGUGAAAUGCGUAGAUAUCGGGAGGAACACCAGUGGCGAAGGCGGCUAUCUGGACGGUUUCUGACGCUAAGACGCGAAAGCGUGGGGAGCAAACAGG